UACGAAGGGGGCUAGCGUUGCUCGGAAUUACUGGGCGUAAAGCGCACGUAGGCGGAUUGUUAAGUCGGGGGUGAAAUCCUGGAGCUCAACUCCAGAACUGCCUUCGAAACUGGCGAUCUUGAGUCCGGGAGAGGUGAGUGGAACUGCGAGUGUAGAGGUGAAAUUCGUAGAUAUUCGCAAGAACACCAGUGGCGAAGGCGGCUCACUGGCCCGGUACUGACGCUGAGGUGCGAAGGCGUGGGGAGCGAACGGG
rnacentral:rRNA from 1 species